rnacentral:rRNA from 1 species
AGCAGUCGCCGCGGGAAUACGAGGGGGGCAAGCGUUGUUCGGAUUUAUUGGGCGUAAAGGGCGCGUAGGCGGCCAUUCAAGUUAGAUGUGAAAGUCCUGGGCUCAACCUGGGGGCUGCGCUUGAUACUUGGUUGCUUGAGUGGGGAAGAGGGUCGUGGAAUUCCCAGUGUAGAGGUGAAAUUCGUAGAUAUUGGGAAGAACACCGGUGGCGAAGGCGGCGACCUGGUCCUUGACUGACGCUGAGGCGCGAAAGCGUGGGGAGCAAACAGGAUUAGAUACCCCAGUAGUCCCUGUCUCUUAUAC